AUUCCAGCUCCAAUAGCGUAUAUUAAAGUUGUUGCGGUAAAAAAGCUCGUAGUUGGAUUUCUGUUGAAGACGUCCGGUCCAUACCACGUAUGCGCAUCUGGCGCGGCUUCGGCAUCCUCUCGAAAGACGUUUCUGCGCUUGAUUGCGUGGAGCGGAUCUCGGGACUUUUACUUUGAGGAAAUUAGAGUGUUCACGGCAGGCUAUCGCCAGAAUACAUUAGCAUGGAAUAAUACUAUAGGAUCUCGGUUCUAUUUUGUUGGUUUCUAGAAUUGAGAUAAUGAUUAAUAGGGACAAUUGGGGGCAUUCGUAUCAACACGUUAGAGGUGAAAUUCUUGGAUCGUGUUGCGACGAACUACUGCGAAAGCAUUUGCCAAGGAUGUUUUCAUUGAUCAAGAACGAAAGUAAGGGGAUCGAAGACGAUUAGAUACCGUCGUAGUCUUUACCAUAAACUAUGCCAACUAGAGAUGGGACAUCGUUCACUUAAGACUUGUUCCGCACCUUAUGAGAUAUCAAAGUCUUUGGGUUCCGGGGGGAGUAUGGUCGCAAGUCUGAAACUUAAAGGAAUUGACGGAAGGGCACCACCAGGAGUGGAGCCUGUGGCUUAAUUUGACUCAACACGGGGAAACUCACCAGGUCCAGACAUAAUAAGGAUUGACAGAUUGAUAGCUCUUUCUUGAUUUUAUGGGUGGUGGUGCAUGGCCGUUCUUAGUUCGUGGAGUGAUUUGUCUGCUUAAUUGCGUUAACGAACGAGACCUUAACCUGCUAAAUAGGAGCGCCUAUCUCCGGAUAAGCGCCUUUCUUCUUAGAGGGACUUUAUGCGUUUCAGCAUGAGGAAGUUUGAGGCUAAA
rnacentral:rRNA from 1 species